GGGCCCGCUCCGGCCGCGGGGAGCUGGGGGCCUGCCGGGGAGGGAAGAACGGCGGCAGCCCUUUCCCCGUUCCUCCCGUGCUCCGGGACCCCGAGCAGAGCUGCUCGUUUGUCCCCGUGUCCCUGUGUCUGUCCUCAGGCGGCCCCAGGAGCUGGCACUGACCGUGCCGCGGGUCGGGCACAGGCUGCUCCCAGCUCUGCCUGCGGAACUUCGGCAAUUACCGACAGCAGUUCUUUGCCCUGCCAUCCAGAAGGUGCGGCUCAUCUGACACCAGCCAGACGGGGAAGGCCCUGCCUGGGAGGGAAACGGCUACAGGGGAGGAAACCAAGAAAUGCUCCAACCGGAUGGUGCUGCGCGAGUCAAAAGAGGGGCAAGACCGCGGGCAAAUACAGUCAGGAAAUGAGCUUUUAUUCAAUCUCUGCAGGAGCCCUUCGCAGCCACGGGCCGGAGGGAGCGCGGCCGGCUGGGCUGUGCCCGGCUGGGGACGGGCACCAAUUCAUCGCUGCCCUGCUCAGGGAGGUUUUCCGGCCCCGUCCGGGCUUCACCCAACGGCUGCAAAGGUGCUCGUGCGGCAUCCGAGCUCAUUUCCAGGGAUAAAGGAGCCAAACGAGUCCGGAGGGAUCCCUCGCUCCGAGGCAAAGGCGUUUGGUCGAGUGUCGCCGCCUGGUCCCGCCUGCGGGGGAGCGUCUCCUCCAGGUGAGCCUUCGGAACCCAAAAUGCCGGGGGGGCUCAGGUCGGGGCCGCUUUUCGGGCCCGGAGUUGGACGGAGCCCUCGGCGGCUCCCGCUUCCCGCCAGGAACGUUCUCGGGGCUCCCUGGGCAGUCCCAGCUGGGCAGGGAACGCGGGCCGGGAGGAGGCCGGAGCGACAGACAGCGACCCAGCCCUGCUUGGGCUUCCUAUUGCCAGGGGAUGGAGGAGCUGUGCCCUGGAGCUGUGCCCUACAGCCCCCGUGGGGUGGGCACGGGGAAAGGGCUGCCCGCGGCUCCUCAGCCGGGCGCUGCUCUGGACGGGCCCCCUGAGAUGCCUCACCCUGGACACGCCCCAGCGCCAGCCCCAAAGGACCCAAAGAAUCCAGCUGGCACUCGGCAGUGUCGGCACGGCGGGGCUGCAGAGCAGCGCGGGCAGCCAUUCCCAGGGCCCACCUCCCAGAGCUCCCCCGCGCCCCCCACGGGUGUCCCGCCCGCCCCAAAUCCCUGCCCUUCCAGCCGGAGGCCAGCAGCCAGCAGCAGCCUUAAAGCCAGGGCCAUGUGCCCUCAGCGGCACUAAAUCCCGAGCAAGAGCCCUCGGAGAUGCCUGAAAAGAAAAGAGGGUGCUUGGAGAAAGUUGGGCUUGGAUGCAAUUCGCAGUUUUUCGGGGACCCAACCGCACCUGCAGAACCCGUGGACAGCUGGAACAGGUGAAUUGUGCACAAGCCAGUCCCCCAUUCCCUAUCCAGGCUGGGAGUGCUCGUGCCCUUGGCACAGAUGGCUCUGGCUGGGCAGGAACUGAGAGCAGGACGUGGGGCAGAGUGGAUCAGCUGCCCAGGGAACAUCCAGGAGAUGAAGCUACGGGAUCCUCAUUCCAAUCAAGGGAACACAUUCUGUCUCUGGCAGAAGCCGGGAGCCAAAGCAGAUCCCGCCUGGCCAGGCUGGGGGGCAGCAGUUGGAUCCACUCUGGGGGAAAGCCCCUGUGCCUGCCAGGAGCUCUGACUCUGUUUGUCCUGCCAGCUCUGACCAGUGUCAGGGCCACUGGGAGGGAUUCAGAAUCCACAGAAAUCCCAAAUCCUACUGAGGGACUCAAUCAAAGGAAGAAAGUAAUUUUUGUCAUAAAAAGCUUAAAAAAACUGUUAAAAAUUCUAGGACAGCAA